GACGAACGCUGGCGGCGUGCCUAACACAUGCAAGUCGAGCGGGGUUGAGGCGAAGGAGGUAACUCGAGCUUCUACCUAGCGGCGGACGGGUGAGUAACGCGUGGGCAACCUGCCUCAAGGUUUGGGAUAACAGCCCGAAAGGGCUGCUAAUACCGGAUAUGCCUAUGGCCUCGCAUGGGGCUAUGAGCAAAGGGGAAACCCGCCUUGAGAUGGGCCCGCGUCCCAUCAGCUAGUUGGUGAGGUAACAGCUCACCAAGGCGACGACGGGUAGCCGGCCUGAGAGGGUGACCGGCCACACUGGGACUGAGACACGGCCCAGACUCCUACGGGGGGCAGCAGUGGGGGAUCUUGCACAAUGGGCGAAAGCCUGAUGCAGCGACGCCGCGUGAGCGAAGAAGGCCUGGUUGUAAGCUCUGUCUGGAGGGACGGAACAAAAUAGACGGUACCGUCCCGGAGGAAGGCCACGGCUAACUACGUGCCAGCAGCCGCGGUAAAUACACGUGUA
rnacentral:rRNA from 1 species